rnacentral:rRNA from 1 species
AUUGAACGCUGGCGGCAUGCCUUACACAUGCAAGUCGAACGGUAACAGGCCGCAAGGUGCUGACGAGUGGCGAACGGGUGAGUAAUACAUCGGAACGUGCCCGAUCGUGGGGGAUAACGCAGCGAAAGCUGUGCUAAUACCGCAUACGAUCUACGGAUGAAAGCGGGGGAUCGCAAGACCUCGCGCGGACGGAGCGGCCGAUGGCAGAUUAGGUAGUUGGUGGGGUAAAGGCCUACCAAGCCGACGAUCUGUAGCUGGUCUGAGAGGACGACCAGCCACACUGGGACUGAGACACGGCCCAGACUCCUACGGGAGGCAGCAGUGGGGAAUUUUGGACAAUGGGCGCAAGCCUGAUCCAGCCAUGCCGCGUGCAGGAUGAAGGCCUUCGGGUUGUAAACUGCUUUUGUACGGAACGAAAAGGUUUCUUUUAAUACAGGGAACUGAUGACGGUACCGUAAGAAUAAGCACCGGCUAACUACGUGCCAGCCGCCGCGGUAAAAC